CAUGGUUGACUCCUCCUUGUACACGCCCCGAACGCCUUCACAAUUGCGUCAGCAGGCUAGAUGAAUCACGUGCUUUCUAGAAGCCGAGCCUCAGUGGCCGCGGUCCAUUUCGUAUUAGCAAGACUCCGUUAAUUAUUUUACAAAGGCAAUAAGUGUAAACAGACAAUGUUAACCUUUUAGACUAUUUUUAUAUGGUCACAGGUUUAUUCGGAACCCCAUUUACAGAGUCAUUGCUGAAGUCUGCACACUUGCACUGGUCUUACGAGGAAAGUAUAGAGGAGGAGGUAAUGUUGAUACAGACUAAAAGGUACCGUACCACAGGGUUUCGUUCCAGCGAGGAGCCCAACAACAGCAGCAAGCAGGGAGCACAAACCAGCACGUCAUAUUAUUGUGAUGUAUCUGCUCGGGGGGAGGAGAGACAGAAGGCUGGUGCAACAUGUCGACAGACAAGAUCCACCAGUUUAGACAAUGCCGGCCUUAAUAUCACAGGAAUGUUUUUGAAUGUCAUAGAUGUGGGUGUCAUUUGGCAUCGAGAACACGUCUGCUUUAUCAACGUGUGCUCUAACUGAGAUCUCAGACCCAGUAUUGAAUGGCCUUGAUCAGAUGGACAUUGAACCACCCUGGUGUAGCGUAUAUGCGCACAUGACCUCAGCUUCCUUGAAUUUUUUUUUUUUUCACCACCACCAUUGCACACAUGCAGACUCUCACGUUUUAUUAGAGUACUAUUAGAAGCAACCCGAUAAAUAAGAGCUAAUGGCCAGACAGAGGCAAUCAGACAUUUUGUUGCAUCCGGCCUUGAUAAUUCAACUUCGGAAUUUAUUCAAAUAACAAGUGGUAUGGGAAGAGGAAAUGUUAGUACGAUGAAUAAUUUUUGCUGAAAUGAACAUCGAACUUUUCAGUGUUUUAUAAAAGGGAUGCAGUUUAGAGAAUACAUCGAUCCAUUGUACACAAAAGCAGGGAAAUGCUCUGUCAUGAGUUACAGUAGAUGUGAUUUCUACGAAAUAAUCCUUCCCCGGGAGCUAAACAGUAAGCUUCAACUCCUCCAACAUGCACCCGUUUGGUAGCAAACAUUACGCAAGCGUACGGCUGACCGUCCCUCCCAUUCUAUCUGGCAGCACAUGUUGGUGUUUUCAAAGAGACACAAGAUCACACACUGGCGCGCAGGGGCUGGCACAGUGUUACUAUAGGUCAAAAGGAGCAGAAUGGGCAAUCAAAAAUAGCUUCAGGUGACAACAAUGUCAAACCCGAUGGCACUCAGGGGAUCAUAGUUUGGCUUUUAACUCCAAGGGCAUGCUUGAAAUUUGGCAUGGGGAAGGUGUGUCCCUGAUGGUAUUUUCCAGAUAUCCUGUCAGUAUCGUGAUGCUGUAUGCGAAGGACUGUUUGCAUUU